rnacentral:misc_RNA from 1 species
GACGGCUACCGAAGAAACUGGAUCCGCCUUUUCAAAAUUAUCAAUCGUAGAUCAGAACAAACUUGUCAUUAAAAAAACUGCAAACUAUUUUGUUUAUGCCGCCGUCGUCUUUGAUUUCAGAACCGUCAUUAAAGUUCCACAGGUGUACUACAACAUCACUAGCUUCCUACCCGUACUUCCUCAUUUACAGCCCUUUGUUUUGAUGGGUAAUAUGGCGGGUCUCCAUUCUCGGAAAAGCGACAUACGGGCUAUCUGUGUGGAAUAUCGAAGUUCUACAAGGGACAUCAGAUCUCAGUAUCUGUCAAUGACCAUAGUUUUAUAGAUAACACCCCUUACGCGAAUUUCUUCGGAAUAUUUAAGCUGUGAAAAGUUUGGAAACUCAACGGAAAUCUAACAUUUUUGCGAUUUAUUCGAUUGUUUUCUCUACCAAUUUCUUAUAUUAUGUAUAUUAAAAAUAUGUUAACCAUCUAGAGAAAUUGGUUAUAGUGUUUUGUAAUCAUAUUAAUAUUGAAAUUUUGUGUUAUGAUAAUAAAAAAAAUUACACUAUGC